rnacentral:tRNA from 1 species
GGAAGAUUAGUUCAAUAGGUUAGAGCAAUCGCCUCAUAAGCGAUAAGUUGUGGGUUCGAGUCCCACAUCUUCCA